CCUUUUCUUUCCAUUAUCUUUUCCUUUUCUCUUGCAUUUUUUCUAGACUUUUUUCUUAUCUUUAUCCUCUCAUUCUCAUACCAAAAUCACCCAGAUAUGACCCCUUGGACCUAGGUGUAGUGCCCCCUUUUUAUAGGAAAGAAGGGCAACACCAUGGGACACCAACUCUUGGCAUCCCUUAUCCAUUACACGCUCCAAUUUAUUUUUUGCAUGAAAACCAAGGGGUCAUGGUGUGGAAUAAGA
rnacentral:lncRNA from 1 species